UAGCGUUGCCACACUGUAAUUGCCCCAACGUUUCCUGUCCUGUGGUGCCACACCUCGCGUUUGGUUUACCUUUACCAAUACACCGCCACCGAAGAAGCUUGGGUUGCAGCAUUAUCACCUCACGGCACAGUUGUGGUCAUCCCAACCUGCUGGCACUAUGAGCUCAUCCCAUGGACAGCCUUCAGGUACAAAGUUCAUCACCAAGGAGCUAUGAAAUCACAAGUUGAAGUUUAAUGUGAAUUGAGUUCUCAUACAAUCACCGGCAAGGAGUUUUCAUCACUAUUCCAGCACGUUUAUAUACUGCAGAAAGAAGAGAUAGGAAAAACUGGCCUGGAGAUUGAAUGAGCUGGCCAAGGUUACACCCACAUACUAAGUCAGAUGCAAAGCCACAGUUACAACUGGAGUACCUUCCUGACAGCUUUCUAAGGAGUCUGAGCAGUCAUCCUGUUGACACUCAGGAGUUCCAGAGGAGGAUGAGAGUGGAGAUGCCACGAAAAGCAGCUAUCAACAGAGGGAUCAAGACUGUAUGGUGUCAGUGACUUGCGUACUAAAUGACUUGGAGAUGCUUCAACUGGGAGCCAUGGAAGAUGCUGCAUAUACUUCAAGGAGAUGGUGCUUUGCAUCCCGGAGAGGCUUGCAGGACCAAACACAAGGAACUUUAAUUUUAAAUGGCUGCUUGAAAGUUGAGAUUAAGUAUCUGAACUUGGUAUCAUAUGUCAACUGUCCCAGAAAUAAUUGGAGAUUCUACAAGAGUUGAUUUGGGUGUUCUGGAGUCUGACUGGUUGAGUUCCUUCUAUAGAAGGCCUUGAAGAGCUGUCACUUGGAAGAGGUGCAAGCCAGAGGACUGGAAAGCACACGGACUCAUUGUGGAGCACGGCUUCCAGAUGUGCCAUCCCUACAGGUAUUUGUAAUCGUGCUAGAUGUCCAUCUGCGCCUUUAGGUAAGCACACAGAUAUUUCCACAAGUCUGGUCUUGUGCUACUUUGGUAGUUCUUUUGAAAGUCGCACCCAACAUUAAAAAGAGGUCGAUGUAGGAGAUUAAGAUAAAUGCACAAAACACUUUCAUUUUCUUUAUUUUCAAUCGAUACUGUAUGAAUACAAAGUUUCUAGAAAGCUACAAAAAUUCUACCACUUUAUCAAGAAGGCAUCAAAAUGUGUCACUUUGCAAAGACAUGAAAACACCUGCAGUAACCGACACAAAAAUAGCAUUUUUAGAGUGAUGAAAUAAUUGCACUUAACUGUCAUGGAUAUUAAAGUUAUCACACAUAUGUACCGCGAAAGCUAGAAUACAUUUUUUUUUUUUACAAAGCACUUUAUAAAAAAAUUCUCUGCACACAAAACCUAUAAUUUUCAUAUUACUAUCAUACUAAAGAUAAAUUCACUUUAAAGCCAACACUUAAAACAUUUUAAACAAAAAAAGGUACCAGUACCUACACACAGACAAUAACAAAUACAAAGAAUACUGUACUGCCAAGAGGUUUGACUGAAACUCCUUUUGAAAGCUUCUGCAAAUAUGUUAAGAAAACAUUGGAGAAUGUUCACUUUUUUUUUUUCAAAGAGCCUUCCCUCCCUGUCUAACCUAGAGGUACUUUAUCAUCAAAAGGCAAGUUCUACAUCAAAAGUUACCAGCAGCAGUACAAUAUUAAAGUAACCACUGACCAUAUAUGAAUAUGCUUAAGUCACAAACCCAUUUUAUACACAUUACACAAAUAAACAUAAAGUGAGAAUUCCAUUAAGUCAUUUACAAAUGUGAACAAAUGCACAUGGCCAAAAAAAAAAAAUAAUCCAAACAAAACAAAACCCCAACCUGUUUUACAUAAAAUGUACUGAAGAAUUAAAGGCUAUUCAGGUUUUCAAUGUUAUAAAAUUCUCUUGUCUUUCUUUUUCAGGCACAUAUUGUAUUUUUUGUCUGCAGUCAUGAGCCUGAAUCAAAGAGGCCCAUAAAACAAAACAAAAACAAAAACACGUAUUCUGAAAGGAGGUAACAGGGAUCUGUCUCCUUUUUGUCAACUGAGUGCAUUUAAGAUUUAAUUUACAUGCUAAACUAAUUACAUGAUCUCAGCAAGAAUGACCUGAAAAGUUAAAAGAUGAAGAUCUCCAAAGUGUGUUUUGUACUUUGAAUUAUCCAGCCUUGAUCUUUUUUUAGGGGGCUAAGCAUCGUGUUAUGAAAGAUAGGAGGGGGGAAAAGAGAUCAUCCUGAGAAAAGUACAAAACGGGACUCUGUUAUCACAUCUGCUGUUUGACCAGGUAUGUGGAUCGGUAUGGGUCAAGCAAAGAAUAGAGAAAACAUUUCUCAAUAUGAAUGAUCCAGGAAAACUGUAAGGGGAACCGCUUCCAAAGCAAGUAUGCUCUAGGAGCUGCAGUGGAAAAAUAAAUAGAUAUGGAUUAGUAUGUCAAAUGUUGUAUCUGCCUUGAACUGGCCAGUUACUUACAUUCAACAGUAAUGUACACCCUUCAUUACUUAAAAUAGCCUACACCGUGGAGGUUUUAACGGAAGAAGCUACUGCCAACCUCACUGAGCUGUAGCUGCAGUAGAAAGAGAAAGCGAGAAACAGGCAUUACAUCUGCAAUUCCUUCAAAAUAGUGGUGCAGUACCUAAAUAAAGUCAUUUUGGAAUUCAAGUAAGUAAAACUACACUUGCUAGUAGCGAUUUUUAACAGCCCCAAAUGGUACCAUUAUGCUUGUUUUAAUGAGACAGAAGUGUACUUUACCACAAAUACGGAUUAGUAAGACUGAAAUGUUUGGUAGUAACUGAAAAUAUAUGCUCUACUUGCAGGGCGAAAUCGUCUUUGCCCUACCUCGGUCUCAUCGAAUUCAACAGGAUUACUUGUCUUACAGAGAAACAGGGGAGGGAAAAGGGAGUUUGAUAGUGACAACAAUAGCGACAACAGUGGCAGUGGAGAACCCCAAAGAAAGCACCUGCAGAAAUCAUUGAAGUAGAAACCUUACGGAAGCAACAAUUUCUUCAGACUUCCAACAACAAAAGAGAAGACGGUAUUUCUCUUAGCUACAGGUGACCUUUCUAGUCUGGCAGAGAGAGGAAGUCUUUUUCCUUUCUUAAAACAAUGAAAUCAUUGCUACAAAGGAAGAUGGCUGUGCAACUUGGGAAUCGAUCUCUAAUAAACUCUGUCAAGCCAUAUGGCCCCAAUUCAGCAAGCUGUUUAACUUCACUGAGCUGUACGACGCAGUUCCCAGGAUUCACGUUAUCUGUGUACUUACUGAGCCGUGCCUACUGGACCAAUAAAAUAGUACUGAAAGUAUUUGAUUUCUUUCAGUAUUUCUCUGCAGCCUGAACAACUACCCAGCCUGAAUAACCACCCUACCCCACCUAGCACCAGAGACUGAGACAUGCAGGAUCAAGUGAGGAACUGUGCUACCUUUAAUUAUUUAUGUCUGAGUCUUGUGCACAGCGUGAUUCAUUUGGUUACCAAGCAAAAGCACAGGUCACAUGCUGAAUCUCGCCUCCCCAGGCCUGCAGCAGAACUGAAGCUUUUCUGUCACAGUCCUCUCUGUCAUCAUGAAACCAUUUUCACAAGCCCUCAACUUGAAAGAGCACUAAUAUGGAUAUAGGCAGAGACUAGAGAUAUCCACAGCUGGAUUUGUUGAUUCAGGUAUUAGUGCUGCUGACAUCUUCGGUGCCCGAGGUGAGAGUGGGCAGGGUUCUCUUUUUAUGUGGAAACAGCUGACCAGCUACUGUGACAUAACAUUUAGGAAAUCACACGAGCUUAAAGCUACUCUGAGACAAGCAUUUUAUCACGGAAAUACACUAAUGCAGCAGUUUCACUUGCAAUUCUAGCUUGACUUGUUCUUACUGCUUUUUAUUGCUAAAACAAACAACAAACACAAAACGUUUGAAAAAUGUCUUCUUGUCUACCUGGAGACUUUUUAAAAAUGCAUUUAUUUACUAGCUAUCGUGGAACAUUCAUAAUUCGGCCUUCGCUGGAUUUCAGGUCGUUUGUAACUGCUCUUUAAUGUUUAACUAGGCAACAGCUCAUUAAUUCUACUUAGUGUCUACAAUCCAUACUUGUGGUACAACCUUCUGAGGCAAUAUGCUGAUAAUAGCAAUACCGAGCUAGUUUGUGGCAUGGAGAAGACAUGGGUCUAAUAUUAUUUCAGGCUAGCUUUGGUAAAUUAAUCAGUGGAGAAGUCUCCAGAGGUUUAUACGCAGUAACACAAAGAGCCUUAUAGUCACGUCUUUUGCAUAACAGAACGAAAUCCUAUCACUAUUGCACUUCGUUUCUUGCACAUGUAUUGCACGAGGUCAGCAGUUAGCAUUUAAUGUACAGCUAAAGCAGUAUUCACAGCACUCUGUCAUAAAUUGUUCCAAGCUAACGGUAAAUGAGCAAUUUGUCAUCACAGCUGGUUUGCAGUUACAUCUAAAUACGAAAAACUGUAGCAGCCAUCAGCCACCUCACAGUUGCUCUGCUGGAAUUUCUGAAGAGUAAGUAAGUAUUUCUGAUAAAACAAUUAUACUGUUGUGAACUAUCCCAUUUUCUUAAAAAGCGGUUAUUUCUGUUGCUACUGCAAUUACAGUUCUACUAUACAAUGAUUUUUCUUUCCCUUUCGGGUAUUAGAAAUACAUUUAGUAAUUGCAAACAAAAUGCUCCUCACAAAAGGAUCAACCACAUAGACCUUACAUUGCAAGCUGCCGUAAGAACUACUUACAGAGAUUAAAAAAUAACUUUUCAUCUGUUUCUUUCUUAUUUUGAAGCCCACUGAAAAAAAUACACUUGACAUUUAACCUGGAAAGUAACACAUGGCCAUCUGGCACACUGUUGAUCACUCCCACAAGCGCUUCCAACUCUGGCUGAAAUCACCAGGAGUCCUGUAUACACCAAAAAUAGACACUGAGGCUCUGAAGACUGAAUGAGGAACACUUGAAAUUAUCGCUCAACUGUCGUGACUUACUCUUGCACAAUCACAACACUGUUGCAAAAAAAAAAUCUUACGGUUCUAAAACAGACAUAAGCGAUCUGUAUUUGCACUUUGAUUAGGGAGUCGAGCAUGCAAAGGAAGUGUUUUCAAUGGAAAUAUGACUUUUAAACAAUAGUUUUAAUGUUUAACUAACUACCAGCUGCUGAGCACUGAAGCUUUAAGACUCCUCCAAAAAGUGUAACACCAACAUAAAAACAUUUAAGAGUUGGCAUCAGCAAAUAGUCCUGAAUGAAAACCUUCUCGUGACAAAAGAAUUUGCUCUAGUCUCGCAUACUAAAAAGACAUUGCACUUCAACAUGGGCUCAAAUCUUUUUGCUAGAGGAUGAGUACAUGAACACUAUGAAGGAGCAGGUACCGUUAUGAAGAGGGGAUUGUCACUUCAAGGAAGUAGUCUGAGUCAGCAUGGAAAAUAAGUCAAAUUCCAGAUUACCUUUUUAUCUUCGUUACCCUUUUUCCUUCUUUUCAAGAGAAGGAAAGACGAUCACUACUGGUAAAAUACAAAGCUCUGGUUAUAAGAAUUAUAAGAAAUAUCGGCAAAGGACUUGUUAAAUAUACUGGUAUGGCUUCCAUACCAGUACCAGGAAGCGGUGCAAUUAAUCAUACAACUGACAAGUGAAGAUGUAUCUCUCAAACUGAAGAAAGCAGGUCACAGUUAAAAAGACAAUGAUGGUACUCCCCUCCUCCCUCCCCCCCCCCCCCCCCCCCAAAAAAAAUUGUGAAAAAAGAGACCUGCUGUGGCUAUGAGAGUUGCAGAUGUAGUUCUGAGUGGGAGAACAGCCACAUGCUACCUACGUAUUCAGUUUUAGCAGGCUCCUUGCUAAAAUACUGACUCUAGUUUUUGUGUCCACAUUUUAGAAAGGAUGUAGGAAAAUUGGAAAAGGUUCAGAAAAGAGUUAUAAGAAUGAUUUCAGGUCUGGAAAACAUCCUUUGUAGUGAAUGACUAAUGAAACUCCAUCUACUUAGUUUUUCCAAGAGAAGUUUUUCCACGACUUUGUCAUAGCCUACAAGUUGCUACAUGGGGAAGAGUCUUCUGACAGAUUAAAUCUUGCACGAAAGGACAUUAAAAGACAAAAAGCUAAAGCUACACAGAAGCCAAAUGAAAAACAAGGCAGAUGCCAAUACCCCUGAUGGCAAUAAAAUGCUGGAAUAAUUCUCAAAUACGGUAAAGUCACCAUUUCUUAGAGAUUUUUUUAAACCAGCCUAAAUAUCUAACUAUCGUGGAUGCUCUAGCUCAAGUUGGCCUAUUGUAUGGACGCAGAAAUUACUUAGGUUCACUGCCUGUCUUACAGAGAGGAGAGGGAAGACCAGAUAAACGUAAUACUUCCAAAACCAACAUCUCUGACUUCAUCUUAUUAACCUCAGUUAACCUUCUUAUAAUUUCCUUCUCCAAUGAGUCCAGUGAAAAACUGGACAACAGUCAAGCUGGAGCACUGUACCUGCAGCCUCUUGUGAGAACCAGCUUUGUCUCGUCUUUCCUUGGUACUCUCCAUCUUUCUUCACUUUCAAUUCAGACUUAAAAUUGCAAGGCUUCCUGGGCUGUAAACCAUCUUUCCUGGCUGCAGGGAUUAGGGUUGGUGAGCGCUAGUGUAGCAUAUACAGAUAAAUAACUUUUAGAAUGGAGCCAUGAUCGAUCACACGUGAUGAACAGGAGUCCAGUUACUCACUGAAAAAUUCUCAUUUAAAUAAUGAUUUAAAAUAUAAGAUCAGUACAAUCUAGGGGAAAAAGAAAACCCAGUAACUUAAAACCAUAAACGUUGUUGGUUUCUUGGUGGGUUUUGUUCGUCCGUUUUUUUUUAAUGUGGCAAUUUUCAAAAGUAAAACUAAUCUUGAUUAUUUCUAAGAGCUGAGCUCUGCAUUCGCUGAAUGCAUUGUGAGGCAAAAGCGCUCAGCUUUCUGGCACCCUUUUGACGUGGUUGUUUAAGAACACGAUUAAUUCAUUAACACAACAUAGCGUGUCAAAGGAUAGCACUGAAAAUAUUACGCAUUAAGAGUACCAAGUGUUUCACACACUGCUUGGAGAUGCCUCUGCCAGCCUGCCAGAGCAAGCACCAAAACAGAGCUAGCUGCAACCAAAAUAAAGAGGAAAAAUACUAGAAAAUAAUCAAACGGCAAAAUACUUCCCAUCCACCUCCCAAGUGCUCUCAGGCUGUGUUAAAGACAGGGCACAGAGUGCUUCUGUAAUAAUAACAGCUUUGGCUAACAAAAAAGCAACUCUAGCAAAAAUUACCGAGUCUAAAUUCUUUCUGCUGAGUAGAAGGAAAACAGCACCUAUUGGAAACAGUGGGAUCUGGGGAGGGCCAGAAUAAUCUACGCUGGCAUUCAGUAGUUAACAUUAAGCACAUAAGGUCAUUUGUUAACGACAUACAGGUUUGAACGACUGCUGACUGCAGGGAGGUGUGUUACUCAUAUGACCGCAUUGUGCCUCCCCUCCUCCUCUCCAUAGAGUGAUCAAAGAGCAGAGAUUCCAAAUUGUGAAGCAAUUUUUUCCAAGGGGAGCAUCUGGGGCGCUGGCACGUUUCAGCGUGUGUUACGCUGCAGCUCAGGAAUUGCGUCCAGGUCUGCCACAUGGUUGGGCUCGUGAUGGACAGACCAAGCUGCUCCGGCUCCCCAGCUGCUCGGCCCCUUCCACUCAUUACCCAGGCUCAAGCACUAAUGCCCUCACAUCAAUUGCUGAAGGGGUCCUCCACAAGUGCCACGUGAGUUCCCUGCACCGAUGGGGCUGUGAUGUGGAAAAGAAAAUGGAUGUCUGCUUUCUUACAUAUCUAAUUUCUUUUGCAUACAUUUGCAUGCUGGCCAUAGCCCCAUUCACGUUACAGCCCCCAUUUGUGAGCCACAGAUCAUUUGCCAGUCAAAGCUGGCGAGCGUGCGUGCGUGUGUUCGUGUGGAUGGAGGGAAAUCCAAGACUGUGUAUGAGAAAUUGCAUGUAAAAAUAGCAAGAAAAAAAAAACAGGCAGUAGCCACAAUUGUGUGUGGAUGAAGGGCACAAAGAAUGGCUGCACCUUUUAAGACUGCUGGAGGCGCAUGGGGACACAUUCAGGAGGGGGUGGCAAGCCAUUUCUGAACACUGAUUACAUGGGUAAAUUGUUUGUUCCACUGUAUCACAAAGAGAAGGAGCAUUAUUUUUCAUGCCGCAGCUGUUUUGAAUAAGAAUAGGAAUAAACUUAGCCAUCCUCCUCAUGUUACUUACCACUAAUUAUGGCAUAUAUUUACAUCUAUAAAACAGUGAAAUUUGGGGGACAUAAUUUAAUGCCCCUUUAUUGUGUAGAUCCCUUUAUUCCAUCCCGCAUUUGAAUUUCAAAAAUGUUUAGGACUUCAAAGCAUCUUUAAAAGCUUGCCCUAAUUAUAAUAUGCAUUACUUUCAAAAACUCCUAGUUUGCAUUGCAGAUUCCUGCAAAUAGAGGCAUUCAUUUUAAACAUCAAUUAAUAUCAUCCACACAUCUUCAGAUGAGCUUUAGUCUUUCUUUCAGAGUUUCGCCGGGCUCUAACUAAGCUUCCUUCAGUUUGAAGAAUAGUUCAAGCUCUUGCAAACACUUAAAAAAUUAAGUCAGUUGCUCCGAACGGCGGAAAGCCUGAAAACCCAAUAUUAAUUUAUAUCAGCUGCUUUUUUCACGCGUCACUAUUUUGAAAAUGUCCCGCCACCUUUUAGAUAGAUUUGCUGCCCACAUCUAUGCCUGGAGCUGCAGAAAUCAGAGUUUAGCUUGGCACAGAGCCUCUGUCAGUGUCGAGAUACACAAAAUCCACGGCCACAGCACUGAAAGUUGUGCUCACACCAGCAACAAGGAUCCCAGCAGAGGCACGGAGCCCUCUGCGUGAGGCCUGCAGGCAACAGAAGGCGUGUAAUCAGAGAGAAGGGCAAAAUGCGACAGAACAACAGCUACCUAAAACAGAAGAUGAAUUCAGCCUAGGCUGCAACAGUCAGGAAAAACUGAAAGGCAACCGUGCUGCUGAGAAUCCUCAAGAAGAGCUACAAGGGGAAGAGCAAGAGGAGUACUCUUCCCAGCUACCAGAGCUAAGCUACUUUCUGUAUUGGUCAUCCUCAGUGCGAGUGUUCCUUUCUGGUCUUCCUGUUUCCCAUCCUUCUUUUGCACACUAGAUUCCAUGUCUAAACAAAACAUCCUUUCUGUCACCUCCAGGGACAGGCUGACCUUUCUUUAAAUCUUUUUACAGGCUCACCAUCCCUUCUGGCAUCACAUCCACACCUUCACUUUCACAAUUCCACAAGCAACAACAUCCAACUGCUUUCCUGCUCCGGUUUCCCAUGAUUCCUUUUACUCAUAGCCCCUGGUUUUCUUUUGCUGAGAUCCCUUGCAGUGCUUUCCCACCUGUAUUAUUUACCCAGUAGAACUUCAUAUUCCUCUUUUACUCACAUUACAAUCAAAUCCCACCAAAGCCCAGACUGUCACUGAACACUGGCUUACACCACUGAGCAAACUGUCAGUGGCUAAAUAGCAAUAAAGGGAGAAGACAACAAAAAUGAUGGGAAGUGAGAAACAGCUAAACAAGGGGUAAGGGAAUAUAUUGUGAUUAAGCAAUGAACAGAACCUGGGAGAAGUUGAACUUUUCAGAGUAGGAGGUGGUAGUGGAUGAGACGCAGACAGCGGAUACUGCUUCAGAAGUGGAUACUGAAUUUAAAAGAAAGGACAAGAAUACAGAAUGUAAUCUAUUUUUACAUUAAUACACUGGAAAUUACUAUCAGGGUCCAAGAGAUUGUCAACAACCUUUGCAAGAUAUAUACUGGUAACAGAUGACUGGUUUAGAACAGUUUCUAAAGGCUCCCCUCAAAAAUGGCAAGUGUCUUAUUUUUUCUGAAGAAAUGUCCCAUUGGGGUGAAAGAAAUUAAAUAAAAGACAGUGAGCUGACAAUUUAGGAUCUAGUUCUCAUGACUCACCACGGCCAUCUUCUAUUUUUCCUGUACGUAUAUUUCUAGCUGUGGGGGCACUGGCGUGAAGUCUAUUCCUAGAGGAGCAUUCAUCAUCACGCUUGCUACACCCGAACAGUGCCCCUGGCACCCUCCCUCUGCCUUUGCACGCCCAACAAGAAAGAAAAUCCACUGGCCUAUUUUAAGACCAUGGCUUAUGAAGGCAUUCCCAUCGCAUUUUUAAUAUAUAACUCAGCAGGAUGUUUAGCACUGUGCGUUUUUUAAUCUCUACAUUAAUACAACACGAAAUUGUAUUAAAAGACCAUGAAGUUGGACAGCACUGCGAAGUUAGGAGAUGUUGGACUGAAGGUUCCCACACACCCUGACUGCUGAACUGCAUCACAGAGUCUUUACUUACACAACCACACACUCACCCACUGAGCAGCUAUACAAUAUUUUUCAUUAUUUUCAUUAUUCAGUGUGUCUAAGUCCCUGUCUCCUGCACACUAUUCAAAACCUGUGCUGAACUUAGAAUUAUUAAAAUUUUCCUAAUGGCAUUUUUUAAACAGAUGUCAGUGAGUUUGAUUUCUCAGUGAUGACCUGAGGUGAAGAGAUGGCAUCACCCUAAUUCUUUGAAAUUGAGGCAAGAGCAUUAAAGCUGAGCAAUGCUCAUAGGAGGUCAAGCAUUGAAAGCUGGUACCCUGAAGUUCUCAGUAAUGAGUACAGCACUGACCUUAAUGAUACAAGGAAGAUCUCUACUGGUUUUAGAUGCAUCUUUGAGCAUUCAACGUACCUGAAAAUCAAUUUUCACAUGGAGAAACAACAGAAAAUACUGCACAUCAGUGAAUACAACACAAAUCUUUGCUGCUCCCAUGCCCGAUGUAGUCUAAGGCUUACAAUCAUAGAAUCAUUUGAGUUGAAAGAAACCUCCAAAGGCCCUCUAGUCCGACUGCCCUGUAAUGAACAGGGACAUACGCAGCUAGAUCAGGCUGGUCAUUCUCAUGCAACUGAGAACAGGCAGGUGGGGUGAAGUUCAUUCUGUCAGUGGGUUUCGCAAGUAUUUAUUAAGCAAAGUGGGUUGAUGAGAUGAUGGGCCUUUGUUCAAGCCCAAGUUUUGCAAGGAAAUGAACUCAGUGCUUAUAGGCCAUAAUUCCAAGUGCUGUUUCUCUGCAGCCAUCUUCCUUUUGUCCUUAUGCUUGUCCUGUUCCCAACCCUCAUGCAGGUGUCUCUACUGUGUGCUGUUAUCCUACAUUCCCCCAGAGACUCCUUACCACAAAUGCUCCCACUUCCCACUCUUUAUCCCUUUUUAACUCUAUGUUCUCACCUGCCAAAAGGCAGGCUCCUGGUUUCUGGUGUAUUUCAGCUUCCAGUUCUCUGCUGCCACCUGUUUCUGGCCUCUUUGCUCAGGCAGCCCUCAAACACUCAGUCUAUGGCUCCCAUUUCUAGUUUUAAGUUCCAUAAAUUUCUCAAUGGAUUUCUUCUGCGGUACAGCACAGCUCCUACUCAGUGGUUUCUCUCUUCUGCACUCAGAUUUGAGAGAAGAGUCUCCUUCAUUCUCAGUUCCCAUAUUUGGUGCCACAGAAACUUUUGGCAAGAUGCGACAUCUUGGGUACAUAGAGAUUGGAGAAUAUUUCAGAUCACACAGACUAACUUCAACAGAAAAAGACAAAUGCCAUGAGACGUAUCUUAAACAGCGCUUCCAGAUCAACCUUUUCUAAUGUCAGCAACAAUCUCUCCACUCUGUAAUUAGUCCCUGAAUAUGCCCCUUUCACUGAGACUUUAAAAGACAAAUUUUAAAUAUUUGGAGGAUAACUGCUGGUACGAAGAGGAGCCUAUCACAAACAAACAACAAAUCCAUGCAAAGAAAAAGUGUAAGCAUAAAUAAGGUCUACCCUUGAGAUUUGGUGAUCCUUUUGCACGAACCUAUAACAUCACCAUAUUGUUUUGCAAAUGCAACAAAUUAGACCUGGUGCAUUGGUGAAAUUUACUAAAACUAGACCAACAGAUUUUCCAACAUCUCAGCUUUCCAUUCAAAUUCUGUUUUCACUCCUGCUUGCAACUCAUAUGAGCAGAUAGAACUGUUGGAGCAGAGUCCCACAGCUCACCAACAAGCAGGCAAGGGGAAAGCACAUGUGCUCUAGCAACCAAAAAAACAUUUAAGAAAAACCCUGAAGCUCUCACAAGCUCAUGAUCAGCCCAAAGCACACCUGAACCAAGUCCUUCUUGGUCCUAUUUGCUAAGUGCAGGCUGAUCCUUGCAUUAUGUGCAUUUGACAAGAGUUAUCCAUAACAAACAGUAAAAGCAGUCUCUAUUUCACAGCUUCCUUGGUUGUUCUCAGACCACUAGAUGGCAGUUCUCCAUUUGUAAACAAGUGCUCUGUUACCUGUUUGCUUCUGCUCAGCAGCUGUGUCGAGCACAGCUGAGGCAUGCAUCUGCCCCUGCAUGUCAUCUGCAACACAGACUUGUGUUGCUGCCAGCAAGAGUGGCUCCGGGACAGCACCCUACCAGAAGGAUAUACAGCUUAUAUAUGCUUUUAGAUGAGAAAAGACAUUUCCACAAGCACCCCAAAGCUAAGCACUAAACACAGGCCACACUGCCAAGA